rnacentral:rRNA from 1 species
AUGGGUUCGUCUCCUUUGUCGGGAGGAUGCUCUUCACCUCUGUCUUCCUCCUCCCCGCCUACCAGGAGUACGCUCUCCUCCCCGCUCCCCCCUCUCGCCCCACCAGAUCUCGUCCGUGCCCCAGACCUGCCACCUCCCGGGGCCGACGCACCGCUCUGCGGUGGAGCCAGGCCCCUAGCUCCUGGUCGUCGGUGCGACGCCCGAGGGUUGGUUUGUGUGGGUGAAUGUGGUGAGAUCCGGUCGGGCGGUGCCUCGGUCUGUCCUGUCUGGGUAGAUCUCGCCGGUGUAGGGUAG